rnacentral:rRNA from 1 species
UACGUGGGGCGCAAGCGUUGUCCGGAAUUAUUGGGCGUAAAGAGCUCGUAGGCGGUUUGUCACGUCGGAUGUGAAAGCCCGGGGCUUAACCCCGGGUCUGCAUUCGAUACGGGCAGACUGGAGUGUGGUAGGGGAGAUCGGAAUUCCUGGUGUAGCGGUGAAAUGCGCAGAUAUCAGGAGGAACACCGGUGGCGAAGGCGGAUCUCUGGGCCAUUACUGACGCUGAGGAGCGAAAGCGUGGGGAGCGAACAGG